ensembl:lncRNA
ACACUGUCUCAGUGGAAGUAGCAUGAGGCAUUCUUAUAUUUGUUGAUUUUAGCAGAUGUACAUAUGCACCAAGAAUUGGGGUUUGUGAAUGCAGUUCAGUCCUUUAUAGAACUCAAUUUUAGUGUGAUUCCAACAUAUGAAGAUAUUUUGUUUGCUGACUGUGUGUGUGUGUGUGUGUUUCUAUGCAGGUCUGCGCAGCCAGCCCUACAGACGGAUGGAUGGGCUGAGGAGGAGUAUGAGGAAGAAGCUGGAAGAUCAGCUGCUUCAGUCACUCAGUGUGGAGGUCACUACCUAACUGUUGAAGAAAGUCAGAGAGAGCAGGGGAAAAGGAGAAUGGUGUUCCUCUCCCUGAAGGAAAUCUCAACCUUUUAUUUUAAAACUGUUUCUGGACUUAUAGCAAACAGUGAAGGAGUGAGGAUGUAAUAUAGUUUUUUUUUUUUUUAUGGGAAACUUUUGCCAAGUCGAUGUCCAGAACACUCCUACUGCUAAGGAGUGGAGUUGGCGAGGAGUCUUGGCACUAAAACAGACUUGUCACUUGUUAGCUCCAAUGUGAUUCUUCCCAGCUUCCCCUGUCCUAUGUUUUUGUUUUCUUUUUUGCUGGAGCUAGGCAAGUGCCCACCAUGCACUUUUUAACAGACUUUUAUCCGUCCGUAUUAAUCUGCAUUCACGUCUUAAGGAAGAAGGGAUGCGUGUGUCGAGUCAACACACUGGAGGAAGCUCUGGAGAGAAGACUGUUGUAGAAUCCUUGAGUGAAUCUGUGAAGGCAUGGCCAUCCCAUGUGCUAAAGAAAAAAAAAAGUAUGCAUUUUCAUUUGUGACACUGACUGUUGUUUCCUGCUGGUUGUGUUCACGUGAAUGAACGUCGUCAUGAGAGUUCGUUCUUUUUUUUUUUUAAUUAGGAAGUAAUCAUGUGAAAGAACAAAACAAAAAAAACAAUUUGUAAAUGUACAUAUAUUUUGCUACGAAAGUCGAACAUCUUAUUUUUUACAUCGUCCAUCCAUUGUAAUACUGUAAAUAUCACACGAGCCGAACUAACUAACCCCUUACGAUCCCUGAGCCUUUUUUAAGUUAUGUUGUUUACGUAGAUUUUAUUUAACACUGUGGUGAAGACUACCUUGGGUUAACUCCUAUGAAAAGUGUAUCUUCCCGUUCUUUGACCUAACAUCUCACUUCUCUCUCGUCACUCCUGUAACAUGUGAUAGAUUUGUCUGUCCUUGCACGUUAUUCACUGAAAACCUGAAUGGACACCGAGUAGCACACCUUCUUUUUCUACCUUGUUCCUGUACUGCAAAACUGGAACCCUGAUCUUUCAAUGGCUGUCAUCAAAUAAAACAACAAAUACUGUCACUUUAACUCUAGUCAUAAUUUUGACUCUGUUUGUUUUCAUGCUCACCUUACUUAUAAUUGUAUAGCAUUUGCAUGCUUAAAUCCCUUCGUGCACAAAUAGUGAGGCUGUGACUGAUGACCUACUCUGAAAUAGAAUGAGGUCAUGGGAGACAUACCCAAAGAGAUUAACUGUCUUUGUCUAAGUCAGGCAGCCCUAUGUGGGACAAAUACCAUCCAAGAUUAUAUCGUAUUACACACGUAGCUGAUCUGACACAGAGUGGUAAACAGAAAAAAUCUUUUAGCUUCCAGUGUCUGCAUUAUAUCAUGUUCACCACUAGAUGGCGCCAAGUCACCGCCAUAUAACUCCUAUGUCAAUAGCGCACCAUAGACAGUGACUUCCAUGUCCAAGUCCUAAAUAUAGUUUAAGUAAUACUGAUCCUGUUAAGUAUUUUUAAUUGCAUAUCUGUUAAUGAUGAAUAUCAAGCUCAUGUCCAUUUUGCAGCUCUGUGCAACUAAUGUUUCUCAUGAACUAAUUGGGUUAAGUGCCAGCUACAGUGGAUUAAUGUCACAGUGGAACAGGAAUAAUGGAUUGCCUAAGUGAGAGGCCACUUGUUCACGUUUCCAAUCCCACAUCUGUUGAU